rnacentral:tRNA from 1 species
UAGCUCAGUCGGUAGAGCAUGCGGCUGUUAACCGCAGGGUCGUUGGUUCGAGUCCAAC